rnacentral:rRNA from 1 species
UACGUAGGGGGGCAAGCGUUGUCCGGAGUUACUGGGCGUAAAGCGCACGCAGGUGGUCUCUUAAGUUUGGAGUGACAGUUGGUGGCUUAACUGCCAAAAGUGCUUCGAAAAACUGAGAGACUUGAGGGCUUCAGAGGGACACGGAAUUCCGGGUGGAGUGGUGAAAUGCGUAGAGAUCCGGAGGAACACCAAAGGCGAAGGCAGUGUCCUGGGGAGUACCUGACGCUCAGGUGCGAAAGCCAGGGGAGCGAACGGGG